rnacentral:tRNA from 1 species
UGGCUCAGUUGGUAGAGCAUGGUGUUUGCAACGCCAGGGUUGUGGGUUCGAUUCCCUAC